GGGCCUCCAGCUUGCAGAUGGCACAUCACAGGACUUCUCAGCCUCCAUAACUGUAAAUUGGAAGAAGAGUAAGAACUGUUCCUGAGGCUACACAACUGGUAUGUGACAAAGAUUGGAUAGAGGGUUGCUGUCAGGAUUGAAAAAGAAAAUGCAGGGAUGGCCCUAUGCAUUGAGUGUGGCCUGUGUUGAAGAGAGAAGACCCAAAGCUGACACCACUGUCCAAAGGGGCUUUGACUAGUGCUGCUCUGAUGGCCCAGAAGACACAGAGCAGCCAGAGGCCCAAGAGAGUCCUUUCUGGCCUUUGCAAAGAAUGUCUGCACCUCCCUCCACUCAGAGGCCUGGAGGGUUUGGAUGAGGGGAGAUGGCACGCUUGGCCUGGGUGGUGGGCUUCUUGUGAUGAGCUGUCACUGUGAAGAGACUUGCUGUGCUGAAGGCAGUGUGGAUGGCAGGGAGAAGAAGAGGAAGAACAGAGCAAAUGUGCACGGUAGCAAGCUGGUUGGAAGCACUUGUGAAGCACCGCUGGGGGCUCCCAGGGGUAAACUGGGGCUCUCUGCUUAGGUCCCACCACUAGACAGAUGGAAGCUACCAUGUCAUUAGACAUUGAUUUACAGGUAUUUGUGUUCACAUCUGUAUUCAUUGGAAUAUAAAGUUGGCUUCUUUAACAAAGA
ensembl:lncRNA novel transcript